rnacentral:tRNA from 1 species
GGAGGAAUUCCCGAGUGGCUAAAGGGGGCAGACUGUAAAUCUGCUGUCUACGACUUCGAUGGUUCGAAUCCAUCUUCCUCCA